rnacentral:rRNA from 1 species
UACGGAGGAUCCAAGCGUUAUCCGGAUUUAUUGGGUUUAAAGGGUGCGUAGGUGGUCUAUUAAGUCAGGGGUGAAAGACGGCAGCUUAACUGUCGCAGUGCCUUUGAUACUGAUGGACUUGAAUGAACUAGAGGUAGGCGGAAUGUGACAAGUAGCGGUGAAAUGCAUAGAUAUGUCACAGAACACCAAUUGCGAAGGCAGCUUACUAUGGUUUUAUUGACACUGAGGCACGAAAGCGUGGGGAUCAAACAGG